UUGGCCUGUCUGCAGCUCCCGUCCGCGCGCUCGUCGUCGCCGUUUCAACACUCCAUCGCCCUCCUUUUUUCUCUGUGCUCCACAACCCCUUCAUCUCCUCCCCACUGCACCUCCCAUCUUUGAUCUCUCGGCUUCUCCGACUGCCACACCAAAAACGUGAGGUCUUGGCAACCAAAACUAAGCUACUCAAGCCGAAGGUGGAAGUUACUGAGGGCGACUCAAUGGAGGAGUAAUUACGCAUCAGGACAUGGAAGAGCAACUUCUUCAGUUACAUCAUUUGUCGCUAAAUCGAAAUUCAAGAUCACCUAAGGUAACCUGCAGGCUGCAGGUUUAUUGGGCUUUUCUGGACGCUCAGAAUUUACGGUCUUACUGGUGAGAGCUCAAUCAAUGAACUUCAAUUAUCUGCCAAAACCUACCAUCUUCUUCUUAUUUCUUUAAUUAAUGCACAACUGUGGGGCCAAAUUAAGAAGACUUUGUUUGACGAACACAGCAUUUUCCUUUGUGUUUCUUGAAUCAAAUUGUUGUGUCGAGGCUUGAAUUUGCCGGAAAAUUCGUCGUCUUUUAUUUAUUUUAGCAAAGCACUUGUUUUA